rnacentral:tRNA from 1 species
UCCCUGGUGGUUCAGAUGGUAAAACAUUUGCCUGCAAUGUAGGAGACCCAGGUUCGAUUCCUGGGUCGGGAA